rnacentral:rRNA from 1 species
ACGCUGGCGGCGUGCCUAAUACAUGCAAGUCGAGUCGAAGUUUUUCUGUGCUUGCACUAGAAAACUUAGCGGCGAACGGGUGAGUAACACGUAAAGAACCUGCCUCAUAGACUGGGACAACUAUUGGAAACGAUAGCUAAUACCGGAUAACAGCAUUAACUGCAUGGUUGAUGUUUAAAAGUUGGUUAUGCUAACACUAUGAGAUGGCUUUGCGGUGCAUUAGCUAGUUGGUGGGGUAAAGGCCUACCAAGGCGACGAUGUAUAGCCGACCUGAGAGGGUGAUCGGCCACACUGGGACUGAGACACGGCCCAGACUCCUACGGGAGGCAGCAGUAGGGAAUCUUCCGCAAUGGGCGAAAGCCUGACGGAGCAACGCCGCGUGAGUGAAGAAGGAUUUCGGUUCGUAAAGCUCUGUUGUUAGGGAAGAAUGAUUGUGUAGUAACUAUACGCAGUAGAGACGGUACCUAACCAGAAAGCCACGGCUAACUACGUG